AACGUAGGUUCCGAGCGUUAUCCGGAUUUACUGGGCGUAAAGCGCGUUCAGGCGGUUUGGCAAGUCGGGCGUGAAAUCUCUCGGCUCAACCGGGAGAGGUUGUCCGAUACUGCUGGACUUGAGGGCAGUAGAGGGUGGUGGAAUUCCGGGUGUAGUGGUGAAAUGCGUAGAUAUCCGGAGGAACACCAGUGGCGAAAGCGGCCACCUGGACUGCACCUGACGCUGACACGCGAAAGCUAGGGGAGCGAACGGG
rnacentral:rRNA from 1 species